rnacentral:rRNA from 1 species
UACGGAGGGUGCGAGCGUUGUCCGGAAUCACUGGGCGUAAAGGGCGCGUAGGCGGCCUGAUAAGUCGGGGGUGAAAUCCUGCGGCUUAACCGCAGGGCUGCCUUCUAAACUGUCAGGCUAGAGCACAGUAGAGGCAGGUGGAAUUCCCGGUGUAGCGGUGGAAUGCGUAGAGAUCGGGAAGAACAUCAGUGGCGAAGGCGGCCUGCUGGGCUGUUGCUGACGCUGAGGCGCGAAAGCGUGGGGAGCGAACAGG